rnacentral:rRNA from 1 species
CGAACGCGAACCCCAGGUCAGGCGGGAUUACCCGCUGAGUU